GCCUCCGCCUGGUUGACUCAGUCCUGUUACCACCCAUCCUGCCAUCGGAGGAGAUGACUUAACAUUUGAUAUAGAGAUCAAUGAAACAAAUUAUGCAGAUUACCUCAACAUAAAGAUUAUAGGUAUGGCUGGGUGUGAAGUUGGGUUGCGGAAUUUUGGAUUUUCAGUGUUGCAGGUUGCUAUGGGUGCUCUUUUGUUUUGUGCUGCUGCCCUAGGAGAAGUGAAAGCUCCAUCAAUAAAUAUAGGUUGCAUAAUCGCGUUGGACACAACUAAUGGAAAAAUAGCUGAGACUGCUAUUGAAUUGGCGGUUGAAGACGUAAACAGAAACACCAGCAUUCUGAAUGGCGCGCUCCUCAAAAUUGAUAUCCGAGAUUCCAAACAAGAUGCACUCACAGGCGCUUCUGCAGCAUUGGAACUUAUAAGAAAAGAAUGUGUAAGCAUAGUCGGCCCACAGACAUCCGCGGUGGCUGAGUUCGUUGGGUAUUUGGGCGUCGCAGCGCAUGUUCCAAUUGUGACAUUUGGUGCAACGAAUCCCUCUCUUUCCAUGCAUCGAUAUCCUUACUUCGUUCGCACAGUACCCAAUGAUAAUAUGCAAAUGAGGGCAAUAGCAAAGCUGAUAGAGGAGUAUAGAUGGAGAGCUGUGGUGCUUGUGUAUGUAGAUGAUGAUUUAGGCACAGGGGCCAUUCCAGCCUUAAACGAUGCCUUGCGAGAUGUGAGGGCAAAAAUUGUUUUCAAAGCUGCAGUGCCUCCCCAGGCCAACGCCUCCUCAAUGAGAAAUCUUCUUGAGGAUGAGUUGAUGGGGCUGGAGUCGCGAGUAUUCAUCGUGCAUAUGCAUGCUGAUUUAGCUCCAAUCCUGUUUUCCGAGGCUUCCAAAUUAGGAAUGAUAAGCAGUGAAUAUGUAUGGAUCAUUACCGACAUAUUUGCCACUCUACUGGAUUCCUUCAACGCUACUUCUCUCCUCUCUAUGAAUGGUGUGUUGGGAGUCAAAAGAAAACUUACACAAACCGAUCAGCCAAGUGUGAAUGAAUUUACAAGAAGAUGGAAGCAGCGGUUUAGAGCCAAGAAUCCUACAAUACCAAGCCUGGAAUUAAAUUCCCGCGCACUCGUUGCAUAUGAUACGGUAUGGGCGAUUGCUUUUGCAAUCGGUCGUCUCCGGCGUAUGAAAUCGUUCAAUGGGGAUUUCUCAGAGACCUCCAGUAGCACCAAGAUUUUCAAUUUCAAGGUUUUUGACGGUGGAGAGCAAUUGCUUAAUCAGAUCCUAGGGACAAACUUUCAUGGUCUGAGCGGCCUUGUUCAAAUAAGUCGUGAAAGGGGAGAACCUUUGGAGUGCUCCUAUGAUAUAAUAAAUGUUGCUGGAAAUAAUUAUAGUGUAGUUGGGUCGUGGACUGAAAGGGACCUGAAUAUAUCUUGGAAACGAGAAAUUCAUUGGGGCGGUGGAUCAACAAGGACGCCACGCGGGUGGGAGAUACCUGCGCAAGGCAAGAAACUGAAAAUAGCGGUUCCUUGGCGGAAAGGCUUUACAAAAUUCGUCAGCGUAAAACCAGUUAAGGCCAGCGCAGGUGCACAAAACCAGACAUAUGAGAUUGCUGGUUUCUCUAUUGAUGUGUUCACAUCGGUGCUCGAAAGAUUGGGUUAUAAUUUGACGUAUGAAUGGAUACCUUAUGGAACUGGCGAUGCCACUGCGGGCUACUAUGAUGACCUCGUCUAUCAGGUUUACCUCCAGAACUUCGAUGCGGUUGUGGGAGAUGUAACGGUGCUUGCAAAUCGGAGCAAGUUUGUGGAUUUCACACAACCGUAUACAGAGUCGGGAUUGAUAAUGAUGGUAGCAAUUUCAGACAAGCGAUCAAGUUAUUCCUUGGCCUUCCUGCACCCCUUUACUCCAGCCCUGUGGAUAACUACUGUUGUAUUUUUCAUAUUCACUGGAGCUGUUGUUUGGUUUUUGGAGCACAGACGAAAUAGGCAAUUUAGAGGGACGCCCCGGGAACAAGUCUUGACAUUCGUCUGGUUUUCCUUUUCCACACUCUUCACGACUCAAGGGGAGACGAUUGUAAGCGGUCUGGGUAAAGUAGUGGUGGCAAUUUGGCUUUUUGUAGUUUUUGUGUUAGUGUCUAGUUACACGGCCAGCCUGUCUUCGAUGCUUACAGUCAGACAAAUUGUACCAAUUGUUGAGAGCCUUGAGUCUUUAAUCGCCCAAAAUUUGCCAAUCGGGUAUCACCAGGGAUCUUUCAUAGACAAGUAUUUGGUACAACAGCUUGGUGUGGAUGAAAGCACACUUCGCCCAUAUUCAUCUCCACAGGAUUCCGCCGAUGCACUGAAGAAGGGACCCAAUAACGGAGGAGUGGCUGCCAUAUUUGAGGAGCAAACUAUUGCUCAAAAUUUGUUAACAGGAUGCAAUUACUAUGCGAGACUUGGUCCCGUGUACAAAACAGGAGGCUUUUCAUUCGUGUUCCCAAAGGGGUCUCCGCUGGGUUCAGGUAUUUCCAAGGCUAUAUUAAAUCUUUCGGAAAGCAAAGAUAUGCAAGCAAUUCGGAAGAGGUGGUUCAAUUCAACUGAAAACAAAUGCAACAUUGAGUCUGGUGGAUUGGAUUCAAACAAAUUGAGCCUCGAAGACUUUUGGGGCUUAUUUCUUCUCACAGGAUGCAUAUCAUUUCUCGCCCUUGUCUACUAUUUGUGUCACCUGCUUUACCGAUUUGUGCACAGAAAUGAGAAUUCAUCCCAUGACAAAUCCAUCUCAACCCGAUUGCGAACGUUUGCCAAUUAUGCAGACAAGAAGGACAUCCCAGCACCAAAAAGAAAGAGAUAUAAGACCGCAACUUUAUCAUAUGGAACUGAGGCUUCCACUUCGUCUAAAAUUCCUGUUUGAUGGCGGUAAUGCUUAGCUGCUCAUCUUCUUUCUGGGAACAUCAGUACCGUCUGUUCACCGCCACUGGAAACUUCUACCGUCUUCAGUCAACUCUCUGCCAACUGUUGUUUUCCCCUUUACAAACUGGCAUCUGAUCAUCGAAUGCAACCUGAUCUUGACUUGGCGUGCACUGCAAGGCUAUAAACCGCCCUUUGUGACUAUUGUAAUAAUCUGACAAUCUUACACAGAGAACAGAUUAGAGACCUCCGCAGAGCUCUGUAUCUGUAUAUAUCCAACAUUCGGUAUCAGAGCCUGGACUGGUUGCAAGAAUUUAUUUUGUGUGAAACAGCACCUGCUGCAACGUGAAGGAGAAGCUAUAACAGAGAGAUAUUUCUGCAGUGUGAGAGACUUUAAAAGCUAAGUUGUCAAAGAAAAACAGUUGUCUGAAGAGACAAAUUUGGGCAUUUAAAGGAGAGAAGUAAAAAGACUUUCCUGUUCUGUUGUUUUUGAAAUUGUGGCAACUAUCAGCAAUAGUUUGAAUUUGUCACAGCCACAUAUUCCUUUGUUUAAAAGAGAAAAUUAUGAUUUCUGGUGCAUCAGAAUGAGAACACUGUUCAUUUCUCAAGGUUUGUGGGAUUUUGUUAAGAAUGGCUAUUCAGAACUUGCAAAUGCACAAGUGCUUGCCUCUUGGACACAAGCACAACAAGAUCAGCUAAAUGAAGAUAAAAAGAAGGAUGCAAAAACUCUCUUCGUCAUUCAAGAAGCAGUACACAAGACAAUAUUUCCUAAAAUUUCUGCUACAACAAAAACAAAAUCAAAAGAGGCUUGGGAUCUUUUGCAAAAUGCACACCAAGGAACAGAUACGUUAAAAACAGUUAAAUUACAAAUGCUUAGAAGAGAUUUUGAAAAUCUUUUCAUGAAAGAUUCUGAAUCUAUGCAAGAUUUCUUUACUCGAGUUAUGGGUUUAGUAAAUCAAAUUAAAUCUUAUGGAGAUGAUCUCACAGAUCAGAAGAUAGUAGAGAAAAUGUUGAAAAGUUUGCCUUCGAAAUUUGAUCCUGUUGUAAUAGCUAUUGAAGAACUAAUGGGGUCUCCGCAAACACAUGAGCAAAGGAUGAAUUGAUCAAUGAAAAGAUGAUUGAACAGGGAUUUCAAUUAAAGCUAAACAUUUCAAAAAAUAAAGAGAGAAACUUUGUUGAAUUAUAUGGAAAAUUCAGAAGAAGAGAUAAUGAAAGUAAAGAAAGCAAUAGUGGACGAGGCAGAGGUUAUAAC